rnacentral:rRNA from 1 species
UAGGAUCCAAGCGUUAUCCGGAAUUACUGGGCGUAAAGGGCGUGUAGGCGGCUUGGCAAGUCGGUCAUGAAAGCUCCCGGCUCAACUGGGAGAGGUUGUUCGAUACUGCUAGACUAGAGGGCAAGAGAGGGAGGUGGAAUUCCCGGUGUAGAGGUGAAAUGCGUAGAUAUCGGGAGGAACACCAGUGGCGAAGGCGGCCUCCUGGCUUGCAUCUGACGCUGAGACGCGAAAGCGUGGGGAGCGAACGGGAUUAGAAACCCCGGUAGUCCACGCCGUAAACGAUGUCAACUAGGUGUCGGUGGCGUAGAACCCGUCGGUAUCGAAGCUAACGCGUUAAGUUGACCGCCUGGGGACUACGAUCGCAAGAUUAAAACUCAAAGGAAUUGACGGGGACCCGCACAAGCAGCGGAGCGUGUGGUUUAAUUCGAGGCUACGCGAAGAACCUUACCAGGGAUUGACAUGCACGUAGUAGGGAAGCGAAAGCAGACCGACCCUUCGGGGAGCGUGCACAGGUGAUGCAUGGCUGUCGUCAGCUCGUGCCGUGAGGUGUCAGGUUAAGUCCUGUAACGAGCGCAACCCCUGUCGUGUGUUAUACGUGUCACACGAGACUGCCGGUGUCAAACCGGAGGAAGGCGGGGAUGACGUCAAGUCAGCAUGUCCUUCAUAUCCUGGGCUACACACACGCUACAAUGGCCGGGACAACAGGCAGCCAAGCCGCGAGGCGGAGCUAAUCCUCUAAACCCGGUCUCAGUUCGGAUUGUAGGCUGCAACUCGCCUGCAUGAAGUCGGAGUUGCUAGUAACCGCGCGUCAGCAACAGUGCGGUGAAUACGUUCCCGGGUCUUGUACACACCGCCCGUCACGUCAUGGAAGCUGGCAACACCUGAAGCCGGUGGCCUAACCGCAAGGAGGGAGCCGUCCAAGGUGGGGUUGGUGACUGGGACGAAGUCGUAACAAGGUAGCUGUAGCGGAAGCUGCGGCUG